UACAGGGGGGUGCAAACGUUGCUCGGAAUUAUUGGGCGUAAAGCGCGCGUAGGCGGCUACUUAAGUCGGAUGUGAAAGCCCUUGGCUCAACUGAGGAAGUGCACCCGAAACUGAGUGGCUAGAGUACGAAAGAGGGUCGCGGAAUUCCCGGUGUAGAGGUGAAAUUCGUAGAUAUCGGGAGGAACACCGGUGGCGAAGGCGGCGACCUGGGGUCGAUACUGACGCUGAUGCGCGAAAGCGUGGGGAGCGAAA
rnacentral:rRNA from 1 species